rnacentral:rRNA from 1 species
GUGGGGAAUAUUGGGCAAUGGGCGAAAGCCUGACCCAGCAACGCCGCGUGAAGGAAGAAGGUUUUCGGAUUGUAAACUUCUGUCCUCAGGGAAGAAGAAAGUGACGGUACCUGAGGAGGAAGCCCCGGCUAACUACGUGCCAGCAGCCGCGGUAAUACGUAGGGGGCGAGCGUUGUCCGGAAUGACUGGGCGUAAAGGGCGAGUAGACGGCUGGCUAAGUCUGGAGUGAAAGUCCUGCUUUCAAGGUGGGAAUUGCUUUGGAGACUGGAUGGCUUGAGUGCGGAAGAGGUAAGUGGAAUUCCCAGUGUAGCGGUGAAAUGCGUAGAGAUUGGGAGGAACACCAGUGGCGAAGGCGACUUACUGGGCCGUAACUGACGUUGAUGCGCGAAAGCGUGGGGAGCGAACAGGAUUAGAUACCCGGGUAGUCC